UAGGGAAUCUUCGGCAAUGGACGAAAGUCUGACCGUGCAACGCCGCGGGAGUGAAGAAGGUUUUCGGAUCGUAAAACUCUGGUGUUAGAGAAGAACAAGGACGUUAGUAACUGAACGUCCCCUGACGGUAUCUAACCAGAAAGCCACGGCUAACUACGUGCCAGCAGCCGCGGUAAUACGUAGGUGGCAAGCGUUGUCCGGAUUUAUUGGGCGUAAAGCGAGCGCAGGCGGUUUCUUAAGUCUGAUGUGAAAGCCCCCGGCUCAACCGGGGAGGGUCAUUGGAAACUGGGAGACUUGAGUGCAGAAGAGGAGAGUGGAAUUCCAUGUGUAGCGGUGAAAUGCGUAGAUAUAUGGAGGAACACCAGUGGCGAAGGCGGCUCUCUGGUCUGUAACUGACGCUGAGGCUCGAAAGCGUGGGGAGCAAACAGG
rnacentral:rRNA from 1 species